UGUAAGCGUAUACCAAAGUUGUUGCGGUUAAAACGCUCGUAGUCGGAAUUUGGCAGUUCCGGAUGUGUGCACGUCGUGUGCGCACUUCGCGGGGAUUGCUUUUGUGGUCUUGCGUAGGAUGAGGCACUUUUAUUAGUGAACGUCCUCACGCAACCACUUUUUACUGUGAGAAAAUCAGAGUGCUCAAAGCAGGCAUUUGCCGUGAAUGUAUUAGCAUGGAGUAAUAGAAUAGGACUUGGUUCUAUUUUGUUGGUUUGUUGGGACUGAGUAAUGAUUAAGAGGGACAGUUGGGGGCAUUUGUAUUUCGGUGCUAGAGGUGAAAUUCUUAGAUUACCGAAAGACAAACUGCUGCGAAAGCGUCUGCCAAGGAUGUUUUCAUUGA
rnacentral:rRNA from 1 species